rnacentral:snRNA from 1 species
AUUACCAAUGUAGAUGGUCUAA